ensembl:lncRNA
GGGUGGCAGGUGGGAGGGCUAUUGGCUGUCCAGAUGAGCUUGUGGCCACGUGGUUAAGUCUGCCUGAAUCCAGGGUUCAGGACUGGAAGCCUGUUCUUGCUGCUCUUAAACCACAUUCACCAUCUAGUCUUUAUCAGCAAGAGGGAUGAUAUUGAUACAUUGGACUCCAUCUGCCUGACUGUUCUGUAUAUUCCAACUGGUUCAAAACUGCAUCAGGGAAAAGGAGUAUAUCUACAGGCUCCCUAAAACCUCAGUAGGUUUGCAGACACAGUUGAUAUCACCCGUGUGUUAUCAUCUUGUCUUUGCCACAGCAGACAGAUGGCAGUGUCUACAGGGCAGCCUCUGGCCCUUACAGGCUGUCACCCAGUAAUCAAUUGGAUGUCCAGGAGAAAAGCCAUCUGCAGUAAAAUCUUCAAUGUUGACUGAUUUCCGUGGUGCAGACAUCCACACCAUUGCUGCUUUCAAGCGGCACUCAAGGCAUCAUUGAACAGAGUUGGGAGGAGACGGACACAAUCUGCUCUCCACACCAGCAAGGCGCCAACUCAGCCGACUCUCUGCACCUCUCUGGAGCCAGGGCAACAUCCCUCCAGAGAGGCAGAUGGCUGAGUGCACGGCUAGAUGCACCCCUCUCAGCUGGACUUCCUGUUUGGGGAUUGUUUGCUACCCUGAGAACUGGCUCAAAGGCCAAACCUUUGUGCCAUAUUCAGUGGGGUGCAAAAACAGCCCAAGGAGAUGAAGUGUGUUUUUACAUACAGCGAGCAGGAAAUGCAUGCCUAAUAAGAAACACCUCUGAAGCCGUUUCAAGCCCUACCUGAGGAAAGCUGUGCAGUUUUCUUCACAGGCAACCUGCAAUGAUCGUCUAGAUCCCUCCCCCACCCCCUGCUGUCCCUCAGUACUUCUUCCAUAUUUUUUAUAUAACUUCCUAAAAUAAUCCAAUAACUCCAGAACAAAAUUUCCCUCAGAGUCUUGGUAAAUUGAUUUCUUCGGCUGAGUUCCUCCAAGAAACACCAUGAAACAAAGACUCAGGUGCAAGUGGUUUAUCUGAAGAUGAAGGGGUGGUAAGGUGAGAUAAGAAAGCCAAUAGAGGUUGCCUAUUGAGCCCAUUGGGCUUCCGAGGUGGCACUAGUGGUAAAGAAUCCGCCUGCCAAUGCAGGACAUGCAAGAGCCGAGGAUUCCAUCCCUGGGUGGGGAAGAUACCCCUGGAGUAGGAAAUGGCACCCCACUCCAAUAUUCUUGCCUGGAAAAUUCCAUGGACAGAGGAGCCUGGCGGGCUACAGUUCAUGAGGCCACAAAGAAUCAGGCAUGACUGAGCACACACACACAGAUUGAGCCAG